AAGGUGACAACAUGCUGUCCCAGCACCAGCCUGGGACGUUUUAGGGGCCGAAUUGAAAAGUGUGCAUAUGUCCCCGUCAAGGGACCGUGUGUUGAGGCCUAUGUGUUCAGGACAGAGAAUGGAAGAAUACACUGCAUCAGUGUAGAUGCCAAAUGGAUCAAUGCAACACUGAAGACAUUAGAGAAGAGAGGCAGCCCAUGUAAGGCCAUGGAGAAGAAAAUGAACUAGAGGAAGUAAAGGAGUGUGCAGACUGAUGUGUCAGAAUUUCUUCCACCACUUCCUAAACUGGUCUGGCCAAAGCUCUUGUUCAUACCUUCCAACCACCAGCAGCACCCCAUACACCACCGGCAAGGACUCUUCUGUUCACAACUCUUUGUACUGAACUUUACACACACUGACAGAGUAUUUAUAUAUUUUUGUA